rnacentral:rRNA from 1 species
GUGUCAGCAGCCGCGGUAAUACGGAGGGGGCUAGCGUUGUUCGGAAUUACUGGGCGUAAAGCGCACGUAGGCGGACUGUUAAGUCGGGGGUGAAAUCCCGGGGCUCAACCCCGGAACUGCCUUCGAUACUGGCCGUCUAGAGUUCUGGAGAGGUGAGUGGAAUUCCGAGUGUAGAGGUGAAAUUCGUAGAUAUUCGGAGGAACACCAGUGGCGAAGGCGGCUCACUGGCCAGAUACUGACGCUGAGGUGCGAAAGCGUGGGGAGCAAACAGGAUUAGAGACCCUGGUAGUCCACGCCCUAAACGAUGAAUGCCAGACGUCGGGCAGCUUGCUGUUCGGUGUCGCAGCUAACGCAUUAAGCACUCCGCCUGGGGAGUACGGCCGCAAGGUUAAAACUCAAAUGAAUUGGCGGGG